CAGUGCCGGGCACCGAGAGCCGGGGAGCCCCGCGUUUUCUCAGCAAUUCGUCAAGGUUGGCGACGAGCGAGGCCUGGACGCUGGGACCAGCACCCCACCCUCCAGGACCGCGUACAGGCUGGAACAAGAAGUUCCUGACCCGGGGGAGGCCUGAAUCUGCCCGUUUUUCCCAUCCGGAGAGGCCUCCCCAUCAUAUAUAGGACCGUCUGGCUCUGUAGACACGGGGGACGGAGACCCCCUUAUCCCUGCUGAAGCAGAUGAUGUUACAGAAGAAAUAACCAUGAGAAGCUAAAUCUUGAGUGCUGAGGGAAAACCAUUUUCUACCCAGCAGGGAUCCAGUUCAGGUACAGAGUCAUGAUGACCAAAGGAACAGCCAUCAUCCCUAAUGUAAGAUGUGGGAGACGUCGGGCUGCUGGUUCCACGGUAAUUCACGGCCCAGGCACCUGUGGUAAAAGUUCUUCGUGAUUUAUUAAACCUGCUUAUCUUCUGUGCGCAUAAUCCAGCUCAGCUAGCCCGGGGAGCGGCUCAGAAGGUACGCAGACUUGCAGUCGGCAACCUGCACUCUUCCUUUGCGUGGGCACGGAGUCUGUUACUGGGUUGUGCUGUCUGGAUCACAGCGUGUCUACACAGGCUGCUGGGCUUGGAGACAGGCCGCGGGAAGAGGUGUGCAGCAUUAGCCGGGGGGACAACACCCACCUUCCCAACACCGCCCCUGCGCUCUCGAUGGCUCGGCGCAAUAAAGACGUAC